rnacentral:rRNA from 1 species
UAGGGAAUCUUCCGCAAUGGACGAAAGUCUGACGGAGCAACGCCGCGUGANCGAUGAAGGCCUUCGGGUCGUAAAGCUCUGUUGUUAGGGAAGAACAAGUGCUAGUURAAUAAGCUGGCACCUUGACGGUACCUAACCAGAAAGCCMCGGCUAACUACGUGCCAGCAGCCGCGGUAAUACGUAGGUGGCAAGCGUUGUCCGGAAUUAUUGGGCGUAAAGCGCGCGCAGGCGGUUUCUUAAGUCUGAUGUGAAAGCCCCCGGCUCAACCGGGGAGGGUCAUUGGAAACUGGGAAACUUGAGUGCAGAAGAGGAAAGUGGAAUUCCAAGUGUAGCGGUGAAAUGCGUAGAGAUUUGGAGGAACACCAGUGGCGAAGGCGACUUUCUGGUCUGUAACUGACGCUGAGGCGCGAAAGCGUGGGGAGCAAACAGGAUUAGAUACCCUGGUAGUCCACGCUGUAAACGAUGAGUGCUAAGUGUUAGAGGGUUUCCGCCCUUUAGUGCUGAAGUUAACGCAUUAAGCACUCCGCCUGGGGAGUACGGUCGCAAGACUG